rnacentral:rRNA from 1 species
UACGUAGGGGGCUAGCGUUGUCCGGAAUCAUUGGGCGUAAAGAGCGUGUAGGCUGCUCGGUAAGUCCGCUGUAAAAGUCAAAGGCUCAACCUUUGAAUGUCAGUGGAUACUGCCGGGCUAGAGUCCGGAAGAGGCGAGUGGAACUCCUGGUGUAGCGGUGGAAUGCGCAGAUAUCAGGAAGAACACCGGUGGCGAAAGCGGCUCACUGGACCGUUACUGACGCUGAGGUGCGAAAGCUAGGGGAGCAAACGGG